rnacentral:rRNA from 1 species
CGGCGGCUACCCAUGCAAGUCGAAGCGGCAGCGACAACAUUGAACCUUCGGGGGAUUUGUUGGGCGGCGAGCGGCGGACGGGUGAGUAAUGCCUGGGAAAUUCGCCCUGAUGUGGGGGAUAACCAUUGGAAACGAUGGCUAAUACCGCAUGAUAGCUUCGGCUCAAAGAGGGGGACCUUCGGGCCUCUCGCGUCAGGAUAUGCCCAGGUGGGAUUAGCUAGUUGGUGAGGUAAGGGCUCACCAAGGCGACGAUCCCUAGCUGGUCUGAGAGGAUGAUCAGCCACACUGGAACUGAGACACGGUCCAGACUCCUACGGGAGGCAGCAGUGGGGAAUAUUGCACAAUGGGCGCAAGCCUGAUGCAGCCAUGCCGCGUGUAUGAAGAAGGCCUUCGGGUUGUAAAGUACUUUCAGCAGUGAGGAAGGGGGUAUCGUUAAUAGCGGUAUCUUUUGACGUUAGCUGCAGAAGAAGCACCGGCUAACUCCGUGCCAGCAGCCGCGGUAAUACGGAGGGUGCGAGCGUUAAUCGGAAUUACUGGGCGUAAAGCGCAUGCAGGUGGUUUGUUAAGUCAGAUGUGAAAGCCCGGGGCUCAACCUCGGAAUUGCAUUUGAAACUGGCAGGCUAGAGUACUGUAGAGGGGGGGUAGAAUUUCAGGUGUAGCGGUGAAAUGCGUAGAGAUCUGAAGGAAUACCGGUGGCGAAAGGCGGGCCCCCUGGACAGAUACUGACACUCAGAUGCGAAAGCGGUGGGGAGCAAACAGGAUUAGAUACCCUGGUAGUCCACGCCGUAAACGAUGUCUACUUGGAGGUUGUGGCCUUGAGCCGUGGCUUUCG